UACGUAGGCAGCGAGCGUUGUUCGGAGUUACUGGGCGUAAAGGGUGUGUAGGCGGUUCUUUAAGUUUGGUGUGAAAUCUCCCGGCUCAACUGGGAGGGUGCGCCGAAAACUGGGGGGCUUGAGUGUGGGAGAGGAAAGGCGGAAUUCCUGGUGUAGCGGUGAAAUGCGUAGAUAUCAGGAGGAACACCCAUGGCGAAGGCAGCAAACUGGUCAUCAACUGACGCUGGAGGCGCGAAAGCGUGGGUAGCAAACAGG
rnacentral:rRNA from 1 species